UACACUCCUACGGGAGGCAGCAGUGGGGAAUUUUGGACAAUGGGCGAAAGCCUGAUCCAGCAAUGCCGCGUGUGUGAAGAAGGCCUUCGGGUUGUAAAGCACUUUUGUCCGGAAAGAAAUCCUUUGCUCUAAUACAGUCGGGGGAUGACGGUACUGGAAGAAUAAGCACCGGCUAACUACGUGCCAGCAGCCGCGGUAAUACGUAGGGUGCGAGCGUUAAUCGGAAUUACUGGGCGUAAAGCGUGCGCAGGCGGUUUGCUAAGACCGAUGUGAAAUCCCCGGGCUCAACCUGGGAACUGCAUUGGUGACUGGCAGGCUAGAGUAUGGCAGAGGGGGGUAGAAUUCCACGUGUAGCAGUGAAAUGCGUAGAGAUGUGGAGGAAUACCGAUGGCGAAGGCAGCCCCCUGGGCCAAUACUGACGCUCAUGCACGAAAGCGUGGGGAGCAAACAGGAUUAGAAACCCGGGUAGUCCC
rnacentral:rRNA from 1 species